rnacentral:rRNA from 1 species
AUGUACAUGGUCCAUGCUAGGCAUGAUGGAGAGGAACGCCUGCCUCCAUAUCUCCUAUCCUUCACAUGCAUGGUGUCAUGUCAAACCUCAAAGGUAUAUAGUACGUGUGUGCAUGCACCACCAAACAAAACACCUAAAGCUCACCACGGCAGGCUCACGUACGUACGGCGCCAAAGCCAGGAAAGCCAAGGCCAAAUCCACCCUAUAUAUGCGGCGUGUGUUGCCGUUGCCGACAGACGGCUCACUUCAAACACCUUGAGCUCCUCACAAGUCAUUUCUAGGAGCCUCACCAACAUGUGCAGCUCUGCAUCCUGGAACUCCUCACCUCCUGCUGUGCUGUUCAUCAGGCAGCAGGGGAAGAAGAAGCCACAUGUCUCAGUGACUCUCAGGAGGAAGAGGUUAAGGCUGAUCAGGAGGAGGAGGAGGGAGCUGAGGAGGGCGGCUGCUGGAGGGGCGGAGAUGGCGAUGCUGAACCUGAGGCUCCACCUGGAGAACCGGCGCAUCCUUGCGGAGAACGAGAGGCUCCGGGAGAGGGCUGGCGCGCUCCGCCGCGAGAACCUCGCGCUGCAUGCCAACCUGUGCAAGGUGGUGCUACCGCCGGCAGAGGCUGCCCCCGGCUGCUGA